rnacentral:piRNA from 1 species
UCUGACUUCAGUUGUUAAGUCACCAGAUC